rnacentral:lncRNA from 1 species
CUUUCUCUGUUGCUGAGGCUGAAGUGCAGUGGCGUGAUCUCAGCUCACUGCAACCUCUGCCUCCCGGGUUCAAGCAAUUCUCCUGCCUCAGCCUCCAGAGUAGAUGGGAUUACAGGUGCACGCCACCAUGCCCAGCUAAUUUUUUGUAUUUUUAGUAGAGACGGGGUUUCACCAUGCUGGCCAGGGAGCUCUUUUUACAGACAUCAUACGUAGAGCACACACAGACAAGCAGAAGAAAAGUCAGUCGCUGGAUGGGGCCCUUUAAGAGAUAGGGCCACAUGCAGAUAUCAAACCAGAAAGAACCAUUCCCUAAGGCAGGGUUGCUAAACAAAACCAAAAAAACUUUAAAGGUUAAUUUGUUGAUGGGGUAGAGUAGGGGAAAGAAAAGAAACAGUUUAAAAAUAUCUGGGGAAGAACCUCUUAUUCUUAGGCAAGUGGUUCCUCCGCUGGGGAGAAAAGUUUAAUUACUGUCCCGUGGAGUUGAAACCGUUUGGCUGGGGAAGGGGAAAGCUGCUGCAGCAUGGCUGGGAACCAGCCUGCUGGCUGUGUGGGACCCUUGGGCACCGCGUCCCAGCCCCAGCAUGGAGGUGGGAGGGGCUGAGAGCUGUUGCUCCUUGGUUCUUCCUGAGAAAGGAAGGAAAAGGCCAUGAAAAGGCCCCCAACCCCCAGGAGUGGAGAGGGAUGGGGGUUCAAACCCCAGAAGCGACAAGGAGUGGGGGUGCAGUUUCUUGUAAGUUCAGACGUCUGAGGUUGAAAAGGCUUAGAAAUCACAGUGAGAGGUUUUGAGUUCCCAUUUCACUCACCACUUCUGGAGCCCCUCAUUUGCGGCAAAAACGUUGCAUAACUUUUCCUUAGUUCAGGUAAAAAUGUGGGGGCUCUUGUCUGUCCAACAGCCAUGAAAAUUUAGGCUCACAGACAGUUUAAAGGGUGAGUAAAGCAGGGUUUUAUUGGGUGAAAAGGGCCGGGGGGCGGGUGGGGAAAGGACACGGAUCCUCCACACGGCCAGAGUACCCUGCUAGAGCACUUCCCACCUGGCUAUUUGAAUCUCAGGUUCCGCACAGGAAGAGGAGGGGCUGGGCUCCUCCGCAUUGCAAAGGGUGCAAACUUUCUGAGGUUCCAGUCCAGUGGGCAGGCUGGUUAGAGUUCCUCUAGGGGCCCCCUCCCACCUGGCUGUCUCACUUACAACUUCCCUGUUCUGUAUGAUGUUGUCUAUGAGUUUGUCAUACAUGACUUGUAUUAUUUUGAGGCUCAGAAGUACAUAUUCAGGUUUGUUGUACAGUUCUGCCCCAUGCCACUCCCCACCACCAUGAGAAAACCAAGAGGACAGGCCUCACUAGGAAAAAAAAAAUUAGCCAGUACCUUGACCUUGGACUUCCCAGCCACCAGAACUCUCCCAGACUUCAUCCUGCUUCAGCUCCUGUCAUCCUGUGCUGUGGAAUUCCUAAACCUCUUAGCUUGAGCCCUGCAACGAUCUGAUUUUCACUCCGUUCUAGGAAGGUUCCAUUCUUCAGUGUGGAGCACAUAUAAAUUGGAAAAGCAUUGGAAAAUUUGUCCAAAGUCACUCAACAGAUUCAUGAUGGAUCCUGGAUUCACAGCCAGCUUUACUUGGCAAUAAAAUUCAAGUCCUGUUCACAUCACAACACAUUUUUACCGAAAGAAAAAUAUGAUGUGUAGAUGUUUGGAGGCAUCCUAUCUUAAUGAGGCUUUUGUUAGAAAGAGUUUUCUUAAAAUUACAGGGUUGGGGAAAUAAAAAAUGUUUGUUGCUCAGAUUAACAAAAAAAUGGUAUAUAGAAAAUAAAGCUAAGAAAGGAAAGUGCAGACAACCAAGAGACUAGAAUUUUCAAUAAAUGGCAAAAUUGUGGUGUUCUGUGGUUACCUCUUGAAGAUUUGGCCUGAAUCAUGCAACAAUUGCCCCUUACCCUCAGUCCUCAAAUUACAAUAGUGAAAGAGGUUUCUAUAGGUAUUAUAUUUGAAUCUGCUAUAUUUUGUUUAUUACUUGCAAGGACAUAUAGGAGAGCAAAAGUUUUCCCUCUAAUUUCUUAGGUUUAGUAACUGGAACUUGUGAAUUAAACUGGCAAAAUACAGAUUAACAGGAGAAGAGUCAUAGACAUUUUAUUUUAAAUUUCAUAUGCAAUGUAGUUCCAGAGAAAAGAAGUGAAAGCCUGAAGAAGCAAUUAGACUUGAGGAGUUAUAUCUUUAACAAAGGGUGGUGAGUGUAGAGAAGUGACUAGAUUUUUUUUAAGAUGGUUUUAGGCUUCCAAGGGUGAUAAACCAUGGGAAGGAAAAUACAUGAGGGAAACUAAUGGUAUAUAGGAGUUAUUUAGUAAGGUUUGUUUACACAGACUAAUCUCAGUGGUAAGAACGGUUUUUCUCCUUUUUCUGGUCAGGGGAAGGAGAAGGGACACCAUCACAAUGGGAAUUUGUGCUUUGCUGGUAGACAAAUAGGAGCAGAGCAGAGAACUUCUUUCUCUCAAUUGUCUUCAGCUCAGAAUAAUCCUUAUGCCAAACAGGCAUAAUUUGGAAUUACAUAUUUUCAUCCUCUCCACACACAAGCUUCCGUAUAAAGUUCAAAGACAGUAGUAUUUUCUUAUAAUUCACUCUGCCCCAAAUAUUAACUAAGAUGACAUUCUUUUUCCAGCUUGAUUCUGCAACAUUCACUUCCAGAAACUUUAUCACUCUUAAUCCUGGAUUGAAGGAAAAUAUUUGAAUGUGAUAAAGGAUAUAUAUUUUAAAAAGAAAGGAACUAUAAUAAAAGGCAAGAUUCAGAAAUUAUGUUGUAAUCUGUGACUUAGUGCAAUUUAGUCCUUGAAUUUCUUGUGUGCAAUUUAUUGAAGCUAUCUUAUUAUAUGUUAAUUCUGUGUCUUCUUUGCCCUCUCUUUUUGUAAAAAUUUUCUUUUUCUGAAUUUUUUUCCAGAGUCAAUCAUUGAUCUUCUUGAUAACAUUCAUUUCCCUUGGUGAACUAACUUUGGUUCAUCGCUUUAUCAUUCUUCUCCAGGCUGUUUUUGAAGGGUCUGUGAGCUGAGAAUGGUUUUUAAUAGAUAAAUGCUCACAAUCAAUUUGGGGAUAAGAAAUAUUAUUUUGAAUCUCAGUUACAAAAAAUGUUAUCCUUCAUAAAAUAAUUCAUUUUUUUCUCAGUAAUAAAAAUGUAUUUCAAAAAUAUGGUGUCCUUAUUAUAUUUUAAAUUUUGCCAAUAAAAAUAAUAAAAAUUGAUUUUCUCUAAUUAUGUAAGUACCUAGAUGAUUUUUAAAAUUUUGUCUCUUGACUUAUACAAAGCCUAAAAUAUUUAUAACUGCC